rnacentral:rRNA from 1 species
GAUGAACGCUGGCGGCGUGCCUAAUACAUGCAAGUCGAGCGAACGGACGAUGAUCUUGCUUCUCUGAUGUUAGCGGCGGACGGGUGUGUAACACGUGUAUAAUCUACCUAUAAUUCUGAGAUAAUUUCGGGAAACCGGAUCUAAUACCGGAGAAUAUUCUGAUCCUCAUGGUUCAAUAGUGAAAGACGGUCUUGCUGUCUGGUAUAGAUGGAUCCGCGCUGCAUUAGCUAGUUGUUAAGGUAACGGCCUACCAAGGCUACGAUGCAUAACCGACCUAAGAGGGUGGUCGGCCACACUGGAGCUGAGACACGGACAAGGCUCCUACGGGAGGCAGCAGUAGGGAAUCUGCCGCAAUGGGCGAAAGCCUGACGGAACAACGCCGCGUGAGUGAUGAAGAUCUUCGGAUCGUAAAACUCUGUUAUUAGGGAAGAACAUAUGUGUAAGUAGCUGUGCACAUCUUGACGGUAACUAAUAAGAAAGCCACGGCUAACUACGUG